GCAAGCCAGGAAGGAGGAGGCAGCCAGAGUGUUCUCUGCAGCAGAAGACCCCUUGCUGCCCUGCUUAACCCAGACCAGCAUUUGCCAGAUCAAGUUCUUAUUCAGGUGAGAAGACAAAGGAAACAGACCCACCCAUAAAAUAUGCACAGACAUGUGAAGGUUGAAUAAACAGAGUCCUUAUUAAGGAAGCAGAACGGUUAGUGCUUAUGUUUGGUUCAUUUCCCUAGCCAAUCCGACAUGAACAGAGGGAAGUGAAGCCUUCUCUCUUAGAAGUUCAGUGCCAGUCAGGUGCCACCAGGCUCAAACCAGGAUAGGACGAUGACUCUGCAUCACUGCUGGCUAGAGGAGGAAAUUACACGCAGUUCCACCUGGGCUGUUCACACAACAGCUGAUAAUCUUCUGACUUGAGAAGUCAGGUGACACCAGAGGCCUGUCUGCUGCCAUGGGCUGACAGCCCCAGAGCUGCUGUCUUCAUUCAGCCUGAGAAACUUCUUGGAAGAGAGGCUACCAGGUCUUCCCUCUGCACUGUCAGAUUACCACGCUUCAGCGACGUGCUCAAGGUGCUCGGCUCAGCCAUUCUUGGGUCUAAAUGUCUGACACAAAGGGUCAGAGUGGAGAAACUGAACAUAAAUCGUUGUCUAUGAAA